rnacentral:rRNA from 1 species
AUUGAACGCUAGCGGGAUGCCUUACACAUGCAAGUCGAACGGAGCGGCGAAAGGGUGAGUAAUGCCUAGGAACCUGCCAGGUAGUGGGGGAUAACUUCGCGAAAGCGGAGCUAAUACCGCAUACUAUCGGAUAGGCCGAGAUCGGAUUAGCUAGUUUGUGGGGUAACGGCUUACCAAGGCGACGAUCCGUAUCUGGUCUGAGAGGACGAUCAGUCACACUGAGACUGAGACACGGCACAGACUCCUACGGGAGGCAGCAGUGGGGAAUUUUGGACAAUGGGCGAAACACUGAUCCGGCCAUGCCGCGUGUGUGAGGAGGGGCUUCGGGUUGUAAAGCACUUUAGUCAGGGAGGCGGUACCUGCAGAAUAAGCACCGGCUAACUGCGUGCCAGCAGCCGCGGUAAUAC